rnacentral:rRNA from 1 species
UACGGAGGAUGCGAGCGUUAUCCGGAUUUAUUGGGUUUAAAGGGUGCGUAGGCGGACUGUCAAGUCAGCGGUAAAAUUGAGAGGCUCAACCUCUUCCCGCCGUUGAAACUGGUGGUCUUGAGUGGAGGAGAAGUACGCGGAAUGCGUGGUGUAGCGAUGAAAUGCAUAGAUAUCACGCAGAACUCCGAUUGCGAAGGCAGCGUACCGGCAUCCAACUGACGCUGAGGCACGAAAGCGUGGGGAUCAAACAGG